AACGAACGCUGGCGGCAUGCCUAACACAUGCAAGUCGAACGAGACCUUCGGGUCUAGUGGCGCACGGGUGCGUAACGCGUGGGAACCUGCCCUUAGGUUCGGAAUAACUCCCCGAAAGGGGUGCUAAUACCGGAUAAUGUCUUCGGACCAAAGAUUUAUCGCCUUUGGAUGGGCCCGCGUUGGAUUAGCUAGUUGGUAGGGUAAAAGCCUACCAAGGCGACGAUCCAUAGCUGGUCUGAGAGGAUGAUCAGCCACACUGGGACUGAGAUACGGCACAGACUCCGACGGGGGGCAGCAGCGGGGAAGAUUGCAAAAUGGGCGGAAUCGUGAUGUAGCAACGCCGCGUGAGGGAGGACGGCCUUCGGGGUGUAGAGCGCUUGCGCCCGUGACGAAGCGUGAGUGACGGGCGUGUGAAAAGAAGCACAGGCUCACUACGGC
rnacentral:rRNA from 1 species